CAUGGACACAACCAGAUUAACCACAGUGAAAAGAGUGCACAGAGAAUGGUGCUUCUGCCAAUAAAUCUGGAGCUGAUUUACCACUGGCACAGCUUAAAAUUCAUUGCCUUGGCAGUAAACAUUCUUCAAGCAUUGCAGGUACCACAUCAGGGUGGCUGCGGUGUCUCCAGCUAACCAAAUUAGUCUGUGAAGAAACAAAGCAAAAUGCAAGUGAACAUGUUUCUUAUUUUGCCUAUGAAAAUGAGCUUGUAAGCCUAAGGCUGUGAUCUAUGUAAAAUACGUGUAACCCAUUAUUAUCAAAAGAUAACUGCAUCUGGCCUAUUUAAUGGGACAAAAACCUGGAUAAAAUUGUGCUACACUAUGAA